UUCGCCCUUAGAGUUUGAUUCUGGCUCAGGGCGAACGCUGGCGGCGUGCCUAACACAUGCAAGUCGAACGGACGAGGCCCUUCGGGGCCGAGUUAGUGGCGAACGGGUGAGUAACGCGUGAACAACCUGCCUCUUUGAGGGGGAUAACACCUGGAAACAAGUGCUAAUACCGCAUAAGACCACAUUACCGCAUGGUAAAGGGGUCAAAGGAGAAAUCCGCAGAGAGAGGGGUUCGCGUCCCAUUAGGUAGUUGGUGAGGUAACGGCCCACCAAGCCUGCGAUGGGUAGCCGACCUGAGAGGGUGAUCGGCCACACUGGAACUGAGACACGGUCCAGACUCCUACGGGAGGCAGCAGUGGGGAAUAUUGGGCAAUGGGGGAAACCCUGACCCAGCAACGCCGCGUGAGGGAAGAAGGUUUUCGGAUUGUAAACCUCUGUCCUAAGAGAAGAGGGGAAGACGGUAUCUUAGGAGGAAGCCCCGGCUAACUACGUGCCAGCAGCCGCGGUAAUACGUAGGGGGCGAGCGUUGUCCGGAAUGAUUGGGCGUAAAGGGCGUGUAGGCGGCUUUAUAAGUCUGGAGUGAAAGUCCUGUUUUCAAGAUGGGAAUUGCUUUGGAUACUGUAGGGCUUGAGUGCAGGAGAGGUUAUCGGAAUUCCCGGUGUAGCGGUGAAAUGCGUAGAGAUCGGGAGGAACACCAGUGGCGAAGGCGGGUAACUGGACUGCAACUGACGCUGAGGCGCGAAAGUGUGGGGAGCAAACAGGAUUAGAUACCCUGGUAGUCCACACUGUAAACGAUGAAUACUAGGUGUAGGGGGUAUCAACUCCCUCUGUGCCGCAAGCAAACGCAAUAACGUAUUCCGCCUGGGGAGUACGGCCGCAAGGUUGAAACUCAAAGGAAUUGACGGGGGCCCGCACAAGCAGCGGAGCAUGUGGUUUAUAUUUGACGCAACGCGAAGAACCUUACCAAGGCUUGACAUCCACUUAAAAGUAUGGAAACAUACCGUGUCUUCGGACGAAGUGAGACAGGUGGUGCAUGGUUGUCGUCAGCUCGUGUCGUGAGAUGUUGGGUUAAGUCCCGCAACGAGCGCAACCCCUAUUACCAGUUACCAGCGAGUAAAGUCGGGGACUCUGGUGAGACUGCCGGGGACAACUCGGAGGAAGGUGGGGACGACGUCAAAUCAUCAUGCCCCUUACGUCUUGGGCUACACACGUGCUACAAUGGCUGCAACAAAGGGAAGCGACAUCGUAAGAUGAAGCGGAUCUCAUAAAAACAGUCCCAGUUCGGAUUGUGGGCUGCAACCCGCCCACAUGAAGUCGGAGUUGCUAGUAAUCGCGGAUCAGAAUGCCGCGGUGAAUACGUUCCCGGGCCUUGCACACACCGCCCGUCA
rnacentral:rRNA from 1 species